rnacentral:rRNA from 1 species
UACGAAGGGGCGAGCGUUGUUCGGAUUUACUGGGCGUAAAGGGCGCGCAGGCGGCUCAUUUUGUCAGGCGUGAAAGCCCCGGGCUUAACCUGGGAACUGCGUUUGAUACGGAUGGGCUAGAGUUCGGGAGAGGAGAGUGGAAUUCCCAGUGUAGAGGUGAAAUUCGUAGAUAUUGGGAAGAACACCGGUGGCGAAGGCGGCGACCUGGUCCGAUACUGACGCUGAGGCGCGAAAGCGUGGGGAGCAAACAGG